UUCAAAAAGAAUUCAAGAGGCUAAAAUAAAAUAGAAAAGGAACCCCCAAUCAACAGAAUCAGAUGCCAUCAUUAAAUCUUCAAUCUUCGUACCUUAAACAAGUUAUAGACCAAGAGAUCAAGAUCGACGGAGAAGUGUAGAGAAUUGGCAGAAUACUUAAACAUGAAAAUUUAUCAGAAACAACCAGCAACAACAAUACACCUUUACCACUUUUAUUACAGAAUCUAAUAACUGAUCACUUUUUACUAUAUGUACAGUAGAACCAACAGCAUGACCUAGAGCCAAGACACGUCACCAUAUGAUGAGGAAAUAGUAGAUUGUGCUGUUCUUAAGGUGGAAAAUUGGGUAACAAUAACUUACAUGAGUUAUAGCAGCCUACCUGUUUUGAGGAAAGACCACCACAGCACUGCUGAGCUGAAAAUGAUAUUUCUAUUGAAAUUCCCAUUUUGAGAAUCUCCUCAUAGAAACACAGUAUAAUUUUUCCAUCUGAUACCAGAUCCAUUAGCAUGCUUACUGUGGAUGAAUACUAGAUCUGCUAUCAACCAUUUCGUUGAGAUCUUGUACAACACAUGAUGUGCAGUUUUUGAGAAGAAAUCCUUUUGAGAACAAUGUUAUAACAUCUUAAUCAAUGGGCACUGUAAGAGUGAAAUAUCAAGAGUCUAUUUGGUCGCACAUUUCAGCUAGGAGAGUUAUUGCUUCAUGGAUCCCUCUACUCUUACAAUGGCCAUUGAUCAAGAUGUUAUGACUAUGAAAGCCAGAAGCGCAACCUUGGUUGACCAUUAUAUUUUAACUAAAUAUACUUUUCUUCCAUACAAUCCACCCUAAUAACCAGCCAAAUUUCACCACGGAUCAGCUAGGGUUCAAGCCAACCAUCUGACUGAAUGAUAUAAAGUCAUCUAAGACUGUUGUAAUUGGUAUUACCACCAAACACACCGUUUUUUUAUAGCAAAAACAAAAACACUUAAAUAUAAUGCUAGAUGCAGAAGCAGGGUAUGAGAAUUUAGAACUGGAAGAUUGAACAGUAAAAAUAAAAACAGGAAAGUUUGCAAUACCCAUUUGUUGUUGAAGGUGAAAAGUGGCUGCAGAAGCCCUAAAAAGGCUUUUCGCCCAAUCAUCUCAUCUACAAAGGUCGCUCUCAUUGUUUCUCUCCAGAUCACUGCAAUUUGCUCCAUUUUGAGUAUCUCGUUUUUAAACAGGAAAAGGAGGCCCUCCCCAUGGGCCCCGUGAGCUCAUGACGAAACAAAACCCUAAAAGGCCCAAAAAGGCUCUCAACUCUCAAGUUCACCAGCGUCCCAGAUCAAUACCAGAGAACUAUAUGUUAUUUCACGCAGGUCCGAGAAUCUAAAACUGGACAAUUACCUUCUCUACUAAAAGAUCUGGGGUUUGUGAUGGUGCUUCACUACCUCCCAUUCAAACAGGUGUCUUUUUAUUUUACUCCCCAAGAUCAAACAGGUGUCCUUUUGUUUUAAUCCCCCAGAUCAGGAAAUAAUCCCAGCAAUUCAUCAAAACAAAAUCAAAACUACUUAUUAAUAAAAGCAUGAAACAAAUUAAAACUUAAUUAUAAGAAAAACCCAUAAAUCAAAUUAAACUAAAAUCCCCAGAUAAAGAAGUGUGUUUUUGUUUUAAUCCCCAGAUCAUGCAAUAAUCACAGCAAUUUAUCGAACUCAAAAUCAAAACUACUCACUAAUAAAAGCAUGAAACAAAUUAAAACCCAAUUAACCAAAUCACCAAACAUGAAAACCCCACGAAUAAAAUUAGAUUGAAAGAAAAUGCAAAAAACAAAUAUUAAAUCUCCCAUAUCCUAUUAUUUCAUCUGCUCAAGAAUCCCCAUAGAUUCAAUCAUUCGACAGACACCAUGGACAAAAUUCAAAGAGUCCAAGAGACUGACACUAUCAAAACACACACCCAACAAAUAUGCUUAAAAGAAAUCAUAAUUACACAAGUAAUAAAAAAGUGGGUGUUAUUGCAAAUCCAAUAGAGAAGCUUAGAUCAUCUCCAAACUAGAAAAA